GACGGAGGGUGCAAGCGUUGUUCGGAUUGACUGGGCGUAAAGAGCUCGUAGGCGGUCUGUCACGUCUGCUGUGAAAACUCGGGGCUUAACCCCGGGCCUGCAGUGGGUACGGGCAGACUAGAGUGCGGUAGGGGAGACUGGAAUUCCUGGUGUAGCGGUGAAAUGCGCAGAUAUCAGGAGGAACACCGGUGGCGAAGGCGGGUCUCUGGGCCGUAACUGACGCUGAGGAGCGAAAGCGUGGGGAGCGAACAGG
rnacentral:rRNA from 1 species